UAAGGAAUAUUGGUCAAUGGAGGGAACUCUGAACCAGCCAUGCCGCGUGCAGGAUGACUGCCCUAUGGGUUGUAAACUGCUUUUGUCGAGGAAUAAACCUACUUACGUGUAAGUAGCUGAAUGUACUCGAAGAAUAAGGAUCGGCUAACUCCGUGCCAGCAGCCGCGGUAAUACGGAGGAUCCGAGCGUUAUCCGGAUUUAUUGGGUUUAAAGGGUGCGUAGGCGGCCCAUUAAGUCAGGAGUGAAAGACGGCAGCUCAACUGUCGCAGUGCUCUUGAUACUGAUGGGCUUGAAUGUCGCUGAAGAUGGCGGAAUGAGACAAGUAGCGGUGAAAUGCAUAGAUAUGUCUCAGAACUCCGAUUGCGAAGGCAGCUAUCUAAACGAUAAUUGACGCUGAUGC
rnacentral:rRNA from 1 species